rnacentral:lncRNA from 1 species
CGCCACGGGCGUCGCGUACGACCCCAGCCAGAUGCGCGUCCGCUUGUGCGGCUCCCGGAUCUCCGCCACCCACUUGCCCCACUUCCGCAUCCGCACGCCACGGUACUGCCGCCUCGGCUGCUGCUGCUGCAGCGGCAGCACCGCCGCCGCCGCCGCCUGCUCCUCCUUGGCAGCAACCGCCGCCGCAGCCGCGGCGAGAGGAGCCAUAGCCGCAGCCGCCGCCGCCGCAGCAGCAGCAGCAGAAGCAGCCGAGUCCUCGCUGGAGGAGCGGUGGUACUCGCCCUGCAUGAGCGAAGCGCGCCGCCGCCGCAGCCGCCCUCUUCUCUCUCUCUCUCUCU